AUUGAACGCUGGCGGCAGGCCUAACACAUGCAAGUCGAGCGGAGCGGCGGACGGGUGCGUAAUGCCUAGGAAUCUGCCUGGUAGUGGGGGAUAACGUCCGGAAACGGGUGCUAAUACCGCAUACUAUCAGAUGAGCCUAGGUCGGAUUAGCUAGUGGGGGGGGAAAAGGCCUACCAAGGCGACGAUCAGUAACUGGUCUGAGAGGAUGAUCAGUAACACUGGAACUGAGACACGGUCCAGACUCAUACGGGAGGCAGCAGUGGGGAAUAUUGGACAAUGGGCGCAAGCCUGAUGCAGCCAUGCCGCGUGUAUGAAGAAGGCCUUCGGGUUGUAAAGAACUUUCAGCUGGGAGGCGUUACCCGCAGAAGAAGCACCGGCUAACUCCGUGCCAGCAGCCGCGGUAAUUC
rnacentral:rRNA from 1 species